rnacentral:rRNA from 1 species
GACGAACGCUGGCGGCGUGCCUAAUACAUGCAAGUCGAACGGGAGCGACCGGUGCUUGCACUGGUCAAUCUAGUGGCGAACGGGUGAGUAACACGUGGGUAACCUGCUCAUCAGAGGGGGAUAACAUCCGGAAACGGAUGCUAAAACCGCAUAGGUCUUCGAGCCGCAUGGCUUGAAGAGGAAAAGAGGCGCAAGCUUCUGCUGAUGGAUGGACCCGCGGUGCAUUAGCUAGUUGGUGAGGUAACGGCUCACCAAGGCCGUGAUGCAUAGCCGACCUGAGAGGGUGAUCGGCCACAUUGGGACUGAGACACGGCCCAAACUCCUACGGGAGGCAGCAGUAGGGAAUCUUCCGCAAUGGACGCAAGUCUGACGGAGCAACGCCGCGUGAGUGGAGAAGGUGUUCGGAUCGUAAAACUCUGUUGUUAGAGAAGAACAAGUGCUAGAGUAACUGUUAGCGCCUUGACGGUAUCUAACCAGAAAGCCACGGCUAACUACGUG